CAGGGUGGAAACCCCACCAGCCAAGUCUGCACACACACACACACAAAUAAAUAAAUAAAUGAAGUCUGCCUAUCUUGGGCCGGAGCCCCUCCCCUCGUCCCGCGCAGAGGAGUGUGACCCAAAGGCCGCUUCCUCUGCCUGGUGAGCGGGUCGGGACCAGGCCCCUGAGACACUCGCACAGCUCUGCUGGGCUCCUCCGCUGCGACCUGCCGCGCCCUGUCCCAUCCACGAUGAACAACUACACCACCCCUUGGCCUAACGACCACCAGUCCAACCUUGGGAUGCCCUGGACGACAAUGGACAUUGCUAUCAUUGCAGGAGUGAUUGCUGCUGUGACCUUCUUCUUGGUCUGCCUCCUUGUCCUCAUGCUACACUACAUGUACCGGCACAAGGGCACUUACCAUACCAAUGAGGACAAGGGCACAGAGUUUGCUGAGACCGAAGAUGCAUCCAUGCAGGAUGACCUGUCUCUCCAAGAGGCUGGCGACAACAGCAGAAAGGAGUACUUUAUCUGAGGGGCACCAGACUUUACCUCCCCCAGUGCCUCCUCCUACUCCAUGACUUCACUCCACCAUCUGUACUACCAAGCAGACUAUGACAGCACCCACCUUAACCCAAGACAGGGGAAUUUUGGGUGCUGGGCCAGGGAGCUGGGAGGAAAGGAAGAUAAAAGUCCAGAAAAUCCUCUCCCAAGGACACAGUGACCACUGAUGAGGCCUGCUUUUGCGCUGCCAGAGGGAAGAAGUCUGGGUCUUCCUACGCAGUGUGAUUUAUCCUCAGUGUGGUGUGAACAAUAGAGGCACACCCUGUGGGAGUCUUAGCGCAUGGGUGAGGUCAUCAGUCCAGAGCCCUGGCAAUGAUCUUGGACAGUAUUUGCCAGCCUCUAUUUCUGAGGCUAUCCUGUGACCAAGAGGUUCCUGCUAACAUUACAGAUCUCAAGAUGCUGAAGAUAAGAAGACAGACUUCAAUGUGUAACCAAACACUUUGGCCACCUUUUACUUUUCAAAUAGCUGAAAUAAUUAUUAUUUUUCUAUCCAAGUCAAAAUGUACCUUGAGAUCCCUCUUGUGUCACCCCAGAAAACCAGAGCAGAGCCCUCACAUCUAAAAGGCAAAGUCUGGCUGUCCCAACAGGGCCUUGGAGCAGAAAACUAGGCCUUCCCUAAGCCUCUUCAUUUAGAUUCAAUCAAAACUUUGCUAUGGCUGUUCAUCCUGGGUACAUGGUACACUCAGAUCCCAGAUGAGGGUCCUUAGGCUGUGAUGGAACAUCCCUUCAUUCAGGACAUCAUUGAGCUCUGGAGUCCUGUUGUGGACUGCUCUGCCUAGUUUCAGGAAUUGUAACUCUACCCCCCAUUGCUAAGGAUGAGCGAGUGACCUCCAGAAUGUGAGCCACAGGAGGCAAAGCUUGUCUCUGGUAGAAAUGCUGCCUCAGUUUCCUCUCCCUAUUCCCAAAGCAUGAUCUAUGUUGUUGACGGGUAAGACCCCUCAGAGCAGGGACAACCUAGACCAGACACAAUCACUUGGGAGGCCAUCAUGGAAGGACUCAGCGGGCUGCAACAAAGAGGGAGCAAUGUACUCUUGUCCCCUGGCUUUGACAAAGCCUGAGUUCCCAUGUCCUCUGGGAGAAGCACUUUAUGGCUCUAAUCCCCUUAAGCCUGAAUACCUGAUGGGGGAGGGGUGCAGCUCCUUGCCUUGCCAGAGCAGAUGGCGGGGUGCAGCUGGGAUCUAGCAUCACAAAGACUUCCUGAAAAUCUUGUGAAAUCUGCUCUGCUAAGAGUGCUUUCUUUCAUAUAUUAAGGGUCCAAGCAGGAAACCCUAAAAGUUUCUGCAAAACCCCCUUCCUGACAGACUCUGACUCAGACUAAGCCUUCAGAUUUCUUUGAAAUGUUAUCUACUGUUUGAUCCUUACUGCCUGUAUUCCUGUGUAUUACAACCCAAUAAAAGCCCCUGGAGGAAGGGGUUUGAGGCCUUCCCCUUUCAAGGGAUCAGCCACCUCUCCUCCCCAAGCAAAUCAUGUCUUGUCUUGUUUACUUUCAUCCAUGGCGGACUUGGGGACUUGCAGGAAAAGUCACCCCCACAGUGUCCUGUGUACAAAUGGGCUUGGGAUUCCAAUGUGACAGAUUUAGGGCUCAUCAUUAGCCAUUUCACAAGGCACACACUUUACUCUGUCAUGGCUGGGUCCUCCCCAGCCCUGUGCUUUUGCACUGAUAAUUAAAGUAUGUGCAUUGGGGGAUUGGCAGGCAAUUAAUAUGAGAAGGGGCUUCUCUCCAGCUGAUAAUAAACAUGUUUGCUUUUAUGUUUAGCCUUGAAUCUUCUGUAUAGCUCCUUUGGCUGGAACCAGAAGAGUAAGCAGAGGGAAACAAAACUCAUCUAAUCCCCAAAGAAAGUGUCUUCUGUACUGCUAGCAAAGAUAAUCCUCAACUGACUCAGUUAGAAUAUCUUAUUACACACACAUACCCACACUUUUAACAAGGACUUUUACUAGUUUAUAUGAGCUUCCAAUACACUUUCCCCAAAGACCUUAUGAGGCUGACACCUGAGGCUACCAAAGAAAGAGCAUUAGUUUAUAAACAGUGUUCUAGCUUCUAGUGUGCUCUGGGUGGUAACCUCUUGAGCAUCUACUUUUUAAUUUACUAUCCCCAUCACAAAUCAAGGAGCCUUCUUAACUUUUGCCUACGUCCUUGGUCAAAACACAGCCCUGAGGAUCAGUUGAGUUCUUCAGGGCCCAUUCCCCCAGCAGGCUCUGUGCUGUGCAGCCAGCCACUCUGUCUGUAUGAGGGCAUGGAUCCACAGGGCUGUGGCUCCCUGUCUCUCCAAACCAAGGGUCCACUCUUCCACAGCCCAUUGGCACCAUCCACUGCCUCUUGUUUCUAUCAAAAUAGGAAGAACAUUUAAAAUCCCAAAUGAUCACAAGCAUCAUUUCCUGAUUAUAAUAUGAAACAUAGAUCUCUUUAUGCUUCCUCUUGAUUACCAGUAGACAUCUCCAGUGGCUGCACAUGGGAGGGAAUUACUUUCAAAUUAUUUCAUGCCUAAAAGACAGGGUCCAGCAGAAGUAACACCUGCUUGAGUGUGGUUGGUAGGGUAAUAAUAUGGGUAUAAUAAUUUAUAGUUUUAAUUUUAACAUUUUACCUAAUAUGUCACAUGGUAUGAUUGAGUAUGAUAUUUCUGUGUUACAGAAUUACGUGCUUAUGAUUUUGUAAUAAAAAGGGGGCAUUAUUUGUGUCAGACCCUGUAUAUCAACCUACACUAGAACUACCACAGCCUGUUUGAAUAAAA